rnacentral:tmRNA from 1 species
GGGGGCGACCUGGUUUCGACGUGGGUCGCGAAGCAGCGCAGGGCAUGCCGAGGACCAGAACACCUCGUAAAUCCAUCUGGAACACACACAAACGCCAACGACGAGCGUUUCGCUCUAGCAGCCUAAUACCUGCUGGACGCUGCACUAGCUUGCUGAUGGGCUAGGCCGGUCGAAAGAUCGGUGCAGCGUCAUUCACAUCAGCCUCUCUCCCGG